AUGACCAAAAUUCUUUGUGCACUUGCUCCCGUGCCUUUAAAAUCAAAAUUAGGUCUGGGGUGGAGGGAGGCAUAUUGUGAAAUGUGGGAUAAAAAACCAAAAAAAAAUGUCAACACAGAUUUGUUUGGAGAAAAAAUUGAGACUAACACCAUGCCUUUUUCACAGGGUGACUGUGGAUGCGCCCAGACCUUUUCUGAAGAGAGCAAAGACCUCUUCAUCUGGGUCUGGAGAAAGAAGAUUCCUGCUGCUCAACAACUGCUGCUUCAGACCUCUGCAGCACUUGCUUGAGUACAACUCCCUGUGAGGAAGCCCAGGCCUCUGAAUUGAAUAACCAACUGAUAAUGUUCCCUCGGCGCCCAAGUGGA
rnacentral:lncRNA from 1 species